rnacentral:sRNA from 1 species
GCUGGGCGUGGUGGUGCACGCCUGUAAUCCUAGCACUAUGGGAGGCUGAGGCGGGCGGAUUGCCUGAGCCCAGGAGUUUGAGACCAGCCUGGGCAACAGGGUGAAACCCCGUCUCUA